UCUGUAAAAGAAUUGUUGGUAUCUGUUGAGUAACGUAGCAUAAAGAAGUAAUGACGAACAUCAAAAACGAAACCCUAGGAUGGGAGACAGGGUACCAUACGUUACGAGUGGAAUGUGAAAAGAUUGAACAUCCAUACCUGAACCAAUUCGAUUGGUGUAAACGGAGAACGAUGGAACAUAUUGUAUAGGCUUGAAGGGAACGAGAUAUUGAAGCGAUUCAAGUUAGGGUUCUAGGGUCAUGACAUCAAUUUGAGAAUAUCGCCGAUGGAUGCUGGAAGGUUAGGGCUCGGAAUGUAUGGUCUGCAAAUAUACCGGCUACCAAGGGUGAUAAAAUGGAUACUUUGGUAG
rnacentral:lncRNA from 1 species